GGAUUAGUGGCGAACGGGUGAGUAACACGUGGGCAAUCUGCCCUUCACUCUGGGACAAGCCCUGGAAACGGGGUCUAAUACCGGAUAACACUCCUCCCUGCAUGGGGAGGGGUUAAAAGCUCCGGCGGUGAAGGAUGAGCCCGCGGCCUAUCAGCUUGUUGGUGGGGUAAUGGCCUACCAAGGCGACGACGGGUAGCCGGCCUGAGAGGGCGACCGGCCACACUGGGACUGAGACACGGCCCAGACUCCUACGGGAGGCAGCAGUGGGGAAUAUUGCACAAUGGGCGAAAGCCUGAUGCAGCGACGCCGCGUGAGGGAUGACGGCCUUCGGGUUGUAAACCUCUUUCAGCAGGGAAGAAGCGAAAGUGACGGUACCUGCAGAAGAAGCGCCGGCUAACUACGUGCCAGCAGCCGCGGUAAUACGUAGGGCGCAAGCGUUGUCCGGAAUUAUUGGGCGUAAAGAGCUCGUAGGCGGCUUGUCACGUCGGAUGUGAAAGCCCGGGGCUUAACCCCGGGUCUGCAUUCGAUACGGGCAGGCUAGAGUGUGGUAGGGGAGAUCGGAAUUCCUGGUGUAGCGGUGAAAUGCGCAGAUAUCAGGAGGAACACCGGUGGCGAAGGCGGAUCUCUGGGCCAUUACUGACGCUGAGGAGCGAAAGCGUGGGGAGCGAACAGGAUUAGAUACCCUGGUAGUCCACGCCGU
rnacentral:rRNA from 1 species